rnacentral:rRNA from 1 species
UUCGGGGUGAUUCUGGUGGAAUGAGCGGCGGACGGGUGAGUAACACGUGGGCAACCUGCCUGUAAGACUGGGAUAACUUCGGGAAACCGGAGCUAAUACCGGAUAGUAUUUCCUUUCUCCUGAUUGGAAAUGGAAAGACGGUUUCGGCUGUCACUUACAGAUGGGCCCGCGGUGCAUUAGCUAGUUGGUGGGGUAAUGGCCCACCAAGGCGACGAUGCAUAGCCGACCUGAGAGGGUGAUCGGCCACACUGGGACUGAGACACGGCCCAGACUCCUACGGGAGGCAGCAGUAGGGAAUCUUCCGCAAUGGACGAAAGUCUGACGGAGCAACGCCGCGUGAGCGAUGAAGGCCUUCGGGUCGUAAAGCUCUGUUGUUAGGGAAGAACAAGUACGAGAGUAACUGCUCGUACCUUGACGGUACCUAACCAGAAAGCCCCGGCUAACUACGUGCCAGCAGCCGCGGUAAUACGUAGGGGGCAAGCGUUGUCCGGAAUUAUUGGGCGUAAAGGGCUCGUAGGCGGUUUCUUAAGUCUGAUGUGAAAGCCCACAGCUCAACUGUGGAGGGUCAUUGGAAACUGGGGAACUUGAGUGCAGAAGAGGAGAGUGGAAUUCCACGUGUAGCGGUGAAAUGCGUAGAUAUGUGGAGGAACACCAGUGGCGAAGGCGACUCUCUGGUCUGUAA